rnacentral:rRNA from 1 species
UACGGAGGGUGCAAGCGUUGCUCGGAUUUAUUGGGCGUAAAGGGUAGGUAGGUGGUCUUAUUUGUCUAGGGUGAAAUCCUUGAGCUUAACUCAAGAAGUGCCCUAGAAACGGUAAGACUAGAGUCCUGGAGAGGGUCGUGGAAUUCCCGGUGUAGCGGUGAAAUGCGCAGAUAUCAGGAGGAACACCGGUGGCGAAGGCGGUUCUCUGGGCAUGUCCUGACGCUGAGGAGCGAAAGUGUGGGGAGCGAACAGG